UUACCGGCUUGACAUAGUCGAAAGACCGGGCAAGUCCGGUGCUGCAUGGCUGUCGUCAGCUCGUGCCGUGAGGUGUUGGGUUAAGUCCCGCAACGAGCGCAACCCCAUCUCUGUUGCCCUUGGGUCUCUGAGAAACUGCCGGCGAAGACUGGAGGAAGGUGGGGAUGACGUCAAGUCCGCAUGGCCCUUAUGCCGGGCUACACACGUGCUAUAAUGGGAUACAAGGGGCAUCGCGAGGGGAGCAAUCCCAAAAUCAUCCAAGUUGGGAUCGGAGUCUGCAACUCGACUCCGUGAACCUGGAAUCGCUAGUAACCGUGAUCAGCACGCACGGUGAAUACGUUCCCGGGCCUUGUACACACCGCCCGUCACACCACGAAAGUCUGUGACCGAA
rnacentral:rRNA from 1 species